UGCAAGCCCCUUUAUAGUAUCAAUGGCUGAAAAGAAAUCCUCAGAGGACCUACAUCCUUGUGUGACACAGCAGAAGAAGCAGAAAUAAUACAGAGAAGAGAGCAGGCUGUGGGAGUGAAGUGGCAACAGAGACACUGAGUCUGCGAGAUGGAGACUGGGAGUGGCACAAAGCGUAUUCACAAGCAAAUCUGAAGCCAGUGGAAGUCUGAACAUUUGGCACCCCUGACAAGAACUCUUCUCUGUUUAAAAGUCAUGGGCCAAUGAAGAGGCAGAAGACCAAGGAAGAUCAUAAAACCACAACCUCAUUGCCAGCAAGGGUGGAUGAUAAAAGGAAAUGUUGGGUAGAAUAAGAAGUGGUCACAUCUAAUCUGAUUUCAAUGGAUUUGGACUGUGGAAGGAGGGGAGAAGACAUACAGUUUGGCCAGGUAUGUGAGUUCAGGAGUCCAAGUCCAACCUUUCUGUAGGCAUUGCUGACAGCAUGCGGAAAGUUGGAAAUUUGGUGUGCAGCUGUUGAGGUGUAUAUGCAUAGUUACCCAAAUGUCAGCCAAGCUGGGCUGAAGAUUGAGUGAGUAAAAGAGUGGAGAUAUUUUUUUUUUAACUUGAGUGAAGGAUCUAAAAAUCAAAGAACCAUCUCAAUGGCUUUGAAUUCCAACCAAUAAAUAAAAUC